AUCUUUCAUCUCCUUUGCUUCAUUUUCCAGCUGGUUGAUUUUGGCUUUCAAGACACUAUUUUCUUGUUUUAGUUCAAGUGCCUCUGUUUCCAGAUGACUUAGCUUAAUUUUUAAGUUCUUUUCCCAAUUGUCCUCAGCCUCUCUUAGUUGUGUUUUGAGUUCUUCCACAGCCUGUAUCCAAUUCUCUGGGAUUUCUGGUUUAUCGUCUGCUGAUCUCUCCCCCUCUGUUCCAUUUGCUGAGUAGUAGCUGUCUAUUGUAGUUUCUUUCUUCUUUUUCUGUUGUUUGCUCAAAUUCACCCCUUCUUUACUGCCCGUAUUUGUCUGUGCUCUUGUUCCUCUCAUUUUCUUUGUUUUGGGGGGACUUCUAUCAGUCUCCCCUCUUGGAGCUUUAACAGAAGUUCUCUUGGUGUAGUCUCUGGGGGAGGGUUGUUGGGGGUUUGAGCUUCCCUGUCCUCUGGAGGCUUUUGAUUGGCUUAAAGUCCAGCAGCCAAUGAGGAUGGGUGGGGAGCCUGGGCUUCCCUGAAUUCUGGAGACUUUUGAUGGGAUUAGAUUCAGCUGGUUCUUUCAGAAGACUCUGCUCUCUAAGGGGGAGGGGUCAUGGCCUCCCUAGGCUCUGAGGGCUCCUGAUGGGAUUAGGUUCAGCUUGUUUGUACUGAAUGAGCCCUAAAGCAAAAAACCUCCUCCUUCACAAUCUGUGUUGAAUGCCCGGAGACUGGCCCAGGUUGCUUUCAAGGUAAGCCCUUCGCCAGCCCUGUUUCUAUUCUUUCAGAAGCUCUGAGGGCUCCUGAUGGGAUUAGGAUCAGCUGGUGUGGACCGAAUGAUCCCCGAGGCAAAAAAAAAAGAAAAAAGAAAAAAAACAACCUCCUCCUCCACAAUCUGUGUUGAAUGCCUGGAGACUGUCCCAGGUUACUUUCAAGAUGUGCCUGACCUCUCAAAUUGAUCCUGGGGGAAGCCAAUCCCCAGAUUUAAACAUCCUGUUUCCUAUCAUCAGAUGAUUCCAGUGACAUUUUGUAGGUGGUGUUUCCUCCCCAAGCCAGAGGAUCCUCAAGAUAAAGUUCCAGCCAUAAGCCAGGAUCUCUCACUCAAAAUAACUCUGAGAUUAAUUUAGUAACUGUGGUGUGGACUCUGACUCCCCUCAGAGAGAAAGAAGAAAAAGUCUUUCAACAUUGAGUUCUAGGACUAUGAGAGUAAAGAAAUAAUAAGCCCCCAACCUGAGGGUUCAAGGUUGAAGAAAGGUGAGUGAAUGAACUAUUUCUUCUGAUUUUUCUUUUUGAAUCAACCAUGAGGUGCCAGUGUUCAUGGAAAUGUUAUUUACUUGUGGAACUGAAUUAAGCGGAAUUUAUGAGGGUGAACUGGACAAUGACUCUCCCAAAACAGUAGACACACUUUAUUUUUUGCUCCUGGAAAUGUGUCUUUGUGAACCCUAGUAAUGACUAUAUUCCAGAGCCAUUUUUUCUUUACCUCUGAACUCACCCUCUAAUAAGAAUCCAGUAAAGCAAGAGGACUUAAUAUUGUGUAAAAGACUUCUGAGGGUCUUGUGAAGCUUAUAAACCCC
rnacentral:lncRNA from 1 species